rnacentral:rRNA from 1 species
UUUCACGUGGACCGUUACAAUUAUGUUCUGUGCCUUCUCUCGGGAGGGCUGAACGAAGGUGAGCCGCUUUAUUGUGGCUUGCCGAUGUAUUUUUCAAACCCAUUUACUAAAUACUGAACUAUACUCCGAGAACGAAAGUUUUUGGUUUUAAUCCAUAACAACUUUCAGCAGUGGAUGUCUAGGCUCGCACAUCGAUGAAGAACGCUGCGAACUGCGAUACGUAAUGCGAAUUGCAGAAUUCAGUGAGUCAUCGAAAUUUUGAACGCACAUUGCACUUUCGGGUUAUGCCUGGAAGUAUGCUUGUAUCAGUGUCCGUACAUCAAACUUGCCUUUCUUUUUUUGUGUAGUCAAGAUUUGAAACGGCAGAAUGUGAGGUGUCUCGCUGGCUCCCUCUUCGGAGGAGAAGACGCGAGUCCCUUUAAAUGUACGUUCGCUCUUUCUUGUGUCUAAGAUGAAGUGUGACUUUCGAACGCAGUGAUCUGUUUAGAUCGCUUUGCGCGGAGUGGGCGACUUCGGUUAGGACAUUAAAGGAAGCAACCUCUAUUGGCGGUAUGUUAGGCUUCGGCCCGACUUUGCAGCUGACAGUGUGUCGUUUUCUGUUCUUUCCUUGAGGUGUACCUGUCUUGUGUGAGGCAAUGGUCUAGGCAAAUGGUUAUUGUGUAGNAGAAUUUUGCUGCUCUUGGGCGCUCUGCACUUUCGGGUGUGGAGUAAAGGAGGCAACACCAAUUUGGGACAGUUUGUGGAAUUUUAUUCUGCAGGCGCUUUUUUCAAUUGGACCUGAUAUCANGUAAGACUACCCGCUGAACUUAAG